rnacentral:lncRNA from 1 species
CUGUUCCAUCUCUUCUAAGUGAUGACAUGCAGCCACUUCCUGAAUCCUUGUUGCAUUUCUCAGUGUUCUCUAAAUUUAUUCGUCUUAUGGAUCUUUACUUAAAAAUUGCUUUCACACUUUUCUCAAUCUCACCAUUAUUUAGCCAAAUUAUGAUAUCUUCGUUAUUUAGUGCACUCAUUUUAGUGUCCAACAUUAUUGGUAGAAUUUCCUACAUGUCUUCUUUGGAGCUCAUUCUGAUAAUAUAUAACAUUACAACAUAUAUAUCUUAUCUCAUAUAUGUUAGUAGUUUUACCUUAUUAGUUUUAAAAAUAUCUUUUGAAGAUUCUGUCAUUUCCCCAUGGCUGCUCUGAAAGCAUGACAUUCUUCCUUUGGUCAUAUUUUGGACCUCAACAUUCCUCCAUCAGUUUUCUUAUAUGGAUGUUGUUUUUUAUUAGACUUUUCACAAGUUUUCCUGGCAUUUUGCAUGUGAUCACGUAUCAUAUUUGGUGCCAUUUUUGUGUUCCUAAUCCCAUCUAAUAGUUUUAUUUUUUAAAGAUAUUGCAAGUUCAUCUCUUU